rnacentral:rRNA from 1 species
AACGCGAAGAACCUUACCUGGGCUUGAACUGCACCGGACAAAGGUAGAAAUACCUCUCCCGCAAGGGGAAGCCAGAACAGGUGCUGCAUGGCUGUCGUCAGCUCGUGCCGUGAGGUGUUGGGUUAAGUCCCGAAACGAGCGCAACCCUCGCCCUUAGUUGCCAGCGGGUAAUGCCGGGCACUCUAAGGGAACUGCCCGUGAUAAACGGGAGGAAGGUGAGGAUGACGUCAAGUCCUCAUGGCCUUUAUGCCCAGGGCCACACACGUGCUACAAUGGCCGGUACAAAGGGUCGCGAACCCGCAAGGGGGAGCCAAUCCCAAAAAACCGGUCUCAGUUCAGAUUGGGGUCUGCAAUUCGACCCCAUGAAGUAGGAAUCGCUAGUAAUCGCGGAUCAGCACGCCGCGGUGAAUACGUUCCCGGGCCUUGUACACACCGCACGA